GGUGAGUAACACGUGGGUAACCUGCCUGUAAGACUGGGAUAACUCCGGGAAACCGGAGCUAAUACCGGAUAGUUCCUUGAACCGCAUGGUUCAAGGAUGAAAGACGGUUUCGGCUGUCACUUACAGAUGGACCCGCGGCGCAUUAGCUAGUUGGUGGGGUAAUGGCUCACCAAGGCGACGAUGCGUAGCCGACCUGAGAGGGUGAUCGGCCACACUGGGACUGAGACACGGCCCAGACUCCUACGGGAGGCAGCAGUAGGGAAUCUUCCGCAAUGGACGAAAGUCUGACGGAGCAACGCCGCGUGAGUGAUGAAGGUUUUCGGAUCGUAAAGCUCUGUUGUUAGGGAAGAACAAGUGCGAGAGUAACUGCUCGCACCUUGACGGUACCUAACCAGAAAGCCACGGCUAACUACGUGCCAGCAGCCGCGGUAAUACGUAGGUGGCAAGCGUUGUCCGGAAUUAUUGGGCGUAAAGGGCUCGCAGGCGGUUUCUUAAGUCUGAUGUGAAAGCCCCCGGCUCAACCGGGGAGGGUCAUUGGAAACUGGGAAACUUGAGUGCAGAAGAGGAGAGUGGAAUUCCACGUGUAGCGGUGAAAUGCGUAGAGAUGUGGAGGAACACCAGUGGCGAAGGCGACUCUCUGGUCUGUAACUGACGCUGAGGAGCGAAAGCGUGGGGAGCGAACAGGAUUAGAUACCCUGGUAGUCCACGCCGUAAACGAUGAGUGCUAAGUGUUAGGGGGUUUCCGCCCCUUAGUGCUGCAGCUAACGCAUUAAGCACUCCGCCUGGGGAGUACGGUCGCAAGACUGAAACUCAAAGGAAUUGACGGGGG
rnacentral:rRNA from 1 species